rnacentral:rRNA from 1 species
UUGUUUGCAGGCUCAGAUGCUGAUGACAUGGAGCACAACGAAUUGGAAGACUCAAGUCACAAAAACUAUGACGACCAUGAUCCAUUUGACUAUGUGUACUCAAACCUCCCAGCCAACACACACAUCCUGAAGCACGCCGCGAACUGCGACCACUGUAAGGCCAAAAAGUUUGUCAGCGAGGCCCCGGGAUUCUGCUGUCGCAAUGGGCAGAUCGAGCUGAAGCAACCGGAGCCCAUCCCGGAGCUCAUGAGGCUUUGGUCUAGCACUGAUGCGGACUCUAGGCAUUUUCGGGAGAACAUACGGUUCUUCAACGGACACUUCUCUUUCACAACCCUG